AGAGUUUGAUCAUGGCUCAGGAUCAACGCUGGCGGCGUGCCUAAUGCAUGCAAGUCGGACGGGGUCGCUUUCGGGCGGCUCACGUGGCGGACGGGUGCGGAGCGCGUGGCCAACCUGCCCAGCGGUGGGGGGUAGCGUCCGGAAACGGGCGGUAAUUCCGCAUACGCGCACCGGUCUCGUGGGAUCGGUGCGGAAAGCCGCAAGGCGCCGGUGGAGGGGGCUGCGCCCGAUUAGCUGGUCGGUGGGGUAACGGCCUACCGAGGCUCUGAUCGGUCGCUGGUCUGAGAGGAUGGCCAGCCACACGGGGACUGAGACACGGCCCCGACUCCUACGGGAGGCAGCAGCAAGGAAUUUUCCCCAAUGGGCGACUAGGCCUGAGGGAGCAACGCCGCGUGCGGGAGGACGCCUUUCGGGGUGUAAACCGCUGUUCGUGGGGACGAAGACCUGACGGUACCCACGGAGGAAGGCCCGGCUAACUACGUGCCAGCAGCCGCGGUAAUACGUAGGGUGCAAGCGUUGUCCGGAAUUAUUGGGCGUAAAGAGCUCGUAGGCGGUCUGUCGCGUCGGAUGUGAAAAUCCAGGGCUCAACCCUGGACCUGCAUUCGAUACGGGCAGACUAGAGUUCGGUAGGGGAGACUGGAAUUCCUGGUGUAGCGGUGAAAUGCGCAGAUAUCAGGAGGAACACCGGUGGCGAAGGCGGGUCUCUGGGCCGAAACUGACGCUGAGGAGCGAAAGCGUGGGGAGCAAACAGGAUUAGAUACCCCCGUAGUCC
rnacentral:rRNA from 1 species